rnacentral:lncRNA from 1 species
UUCCCUUCUUAUAGGCAUUAGGUUGAAGUGCUUUAUAAUUUUAUUUGGAUUCCGGGACAUGUGGGUGGUCGUGGAUAGGUAGCAUCUUUCUUUUCUAAAAGGAGGACGAGUGUGUGGUUGAGGUGAUAGCGUAUUGUCGGUGGCAUAGGGAAAGUAGGAUAGUUAUCUACUUUAGGGGAUAAAAGUAAAGACAUGUGUCUGCUACAGUGGAAAGGUAAGAUAAGUGGUUGCUACAGUAAAGGUCAGGUGUAGAAAAGUAGCUAAAAGUAGAACAGGUGUCUGAUAGGUGUAGAAAAGUAGCUAAAAGUGGGACAGAUGUCUGAUAGGUUUUGUCAGCCAUAAUUUAGGGUUGACAACUGGUGUUGGCCAAGAUUCUUUGGGCCAGAAUUUCGGGUUUCGGGUCUUAGUAUAGGCUUUGUUUCUUAGAAAACCCAUGUGCUGGCAUGUCUUCAUCUUCAUCUUCUUCUCUGUUUACCAUUGCCAUUUCUUCAUUUUGAUUGGCUUCAACAGCUUCUUCUUCAAAUAACUUAUAUAAUUCUUUUUCCAGUUCCUUUCUGGUAGCGGUUAAGUUUUUCUUUUUCAUAUGUUUAAUGUAUUCUCUUAAUUGGGAAGGAUCAUCCAUUGAGGCUGGUAUCCUUUCUUCCGAAAUUUUAUAUAGCUUUAUUUUUUUCGGCUUCAGAUUAUCAUAAACAUAUAUAUCCCACCAUUUGACAGCAAUCUGUUUUCCUAUGGUAGGGAUAUCUUCAUAAUUUUGAAAUACAGGUUCAGAUAUUGCAAAUCUCCAUUUAACUAUCCAAGGAAUUUGAUAACAAGCUAUGAAGUAUAGAUGAUAAUCGAUUUCUGGCUUAUUUUCAUUACAUAUAAUAAAUUUCUCUUGGGAUUUACUCAGUGGUUUUGGCAGGAUUUUGGGGAUAAAUCCCCAUGUAGCAAACCAAUUAAUAAACCAAUUAGGGAAUGGGUCACGUAUUGGUAAUUUAGACUGGAGAAACCAAGUGUGUGAAUAAUACUCAUUUUAGACUAAUAAGACACGAUGCCAAGCAUCAAUAUAAUCAGAAUACGUAAAGCUUUUAUUUGGGAUGCUUGGGGCCUUCAAUUUCUUAGUCCUCAAGGGUUCUGAUCCCCAAUCACUAUAUUUCAGGAUUUUCCUGUUCUGUAAUUUUGAAUAAGCAAUUCCAGCUGAAUUUUUUAUAUUAUAAUGUAUUAAAGAUAUUGAUCUGUUUCCAACAAGAUGCUUUCACAGCAUUCUCUUGUUUUUAAUCCACAUGAUGGAUUAAGAUUAUUGUACAGGUAUAUUUUUGCAAUUUUGAGUGGGUCUUCCAUUGAUUCAUUAUUCUUUAUUAUAUGGUCCACAACAAAAUUGGUAUCUUCAUACAGGGCCUUGUAAGCAGAGGGUUUUCGUGGUACUGAUGGUGAUGACAUAAAAACAGGAGUAUUAAAAGUAGGAGUAUUAUAUGGAGAGGUUUGGGUUGGAUAUUCGAUAUAUGGAAGGUGCUCUAGAGAUGAUGGAAGGUUUAUAAUAGGAAUGGGGACUUCGGGAACUAUAUCCAUAGGCCUUUUGCCUUUGU